UAAGUGCAAUUCCGUUAACGGGACAGCCAGUGUAACUGUCGUGUACGACUUGACAGCACAAUGCCUCCUCGGCUCUCUUGGAUUUCCUUUUGUUCCUUUUGUCGAGUAUCGUUACUUACGCCGGCUCGGAUCGUUGCGCGCCAUCUUUUAUACGAUACUUUUUUUCUUUCUUUCUCUCUCUCUCUCUCUCCAUCCAUUACGCUCCUCGUCGAACGAGGAAAGAUACCGCGCACGUGUGUGUAUAUAUAUGUAUAUAUGCGUGUGUGUAACACGAGCACGUAGAGGUAGAGACACGUAUAUACGUCGGUAAUAUUCGGCCGGCAAUAAGUCGAACGUAAGGCUGUUCCAAAAAUAUCAACGGUGCAAGGUUAUCUCGUUUCCCUCCCGUGUAUUUUUGGAUUUUCACAAACACCGGCGUCCAAUCCUUCUGUUUCCCGAACAAUAACGCCUACGUCAACUCUAACACGUUAACAAAUGCGCGUGUAUCUUAUCUAUGCCGGGCCGGGCAUUACGGUAACAUUAUUGCUUGAUAAUGCAAUAAGCUUUUAUCUUCACCUAUAAAUAUACAUGCAUGUAUCGCAACGAGUAAAUCGAAUGAAUCUGUUUCGUGCGGUAACAGAAGAAUGGCUCGUCUUUUACGCGCUUCUUCCCUGAAAUCUGCUCUCGUUUUCGAAAGAUCCGAUUCAGAUUUUCCAUCCACGCGAUUCACUGAUCGAAUCUUGCGGCCAGCAGGGGAUAAUUGUAGGAAUUGUAAUAAAUGGAAAGUAGCUGGAUAUUCGUGUCGUUUGAAAAAUUGCACACGGUCGUUUCAAUUAUGCAAAUGUAUAUAUAAUGUAAUAUAAUUGGAUACAUAUUUUGUAUUUUAAUAAAAGAAACAUCGUACGAACCCCCUCCCCGAGAGCAUUUUCCCGUGGCAACAGGAACCACCGUCUCGAUGGUAAGUAAAAGCUCUCACCUCUGCGUCCACUGGUAAAUAUACCGAAGCUCGGCGUGCAACCUUAAAAACUUUUCGUAAUAAAUCAGUGCACAAUACGACAGGCUGGAAUCGGACAAAUCUCGUUAGUCGGGUCGAAGAAGUUUGUGCCGGGAGAAAGAGAGAAAGAGGGGAAGAUAGGGGGCAAGAAAGAAAGAGAGGGGGAGAGGGAAAGAGAGGGAGAGCGAGAGAAGAGGAAAGCCGGUUCACCUUGGUUGCUGGAACCCAUCUGCAUGCGAGGACCGCGGAUGGGGAAGAAGGGGGAGAGAAGAAAAGGACAAACUAAGGAGAAGAGGUGGAAGAGGAGGAGUAGGAGGAGGAGGAGGAGGAGAAAGAAGAAGAAGAAAAGGAAAUCGAAGCUAGGGGAACGACAUUCCAACUGGGGUCGGGAUGAGAAGCGUCAUCUCUUGGAAAACCGACGCUACCUUUCUUCUACGUUUCGCCAACCAUUGGAACCCAGCGUGCAAAUAUCAGGAACGUAUGAUCAUCGUAAUAACGCGCAGAUAAAAAAAUUUGGCCGAGACGAAUUAAUUAGAAAUUUUUUGAAAGUUUCUCCAAUUCGAAUUUUUUAAAAACGAGAUAACGCGUGAAUAUUUUAAUAAUCCGCGAUAUAUAAUAUAACUUCCCUGUAUAAAUCAGAUUACAGGGAAUGGCGCGUUUAAUCAUAAUGUACGGCGCGUGUUACGUCAAACGGAGUAAAUUACAUUAUUAAUUCUUCUCGAACGCGAUGCUUCAUUUAGCGGCUCGCCUAUGACGAAGAAACAUAUAGAACCGCUAAUAAGAGACAUUGGUAAUUGUAAUUGAUUGCAACUCUGUACCGGAACGGUACAAAAGUUUCAAAUGGAAGAUAAAUCUUUCACGGGACGCGAUGGUAGGAAGAUUGCGAGAAACUGAGGAUUUUUUUCAAUACGGAUACGAGGUAUAUUUGAUCGAUUUCGAAAUAAUUAUAUAGGAUAAAGUGACGAUUAUUUAUCUUGGGAAUAAAACUAUGAUUUAUAUCGA